rnacentral:rRNA from 1 species
GAUGAACGCUAGCGGCAGGCUUAACACAUGCAAGUCGAGGGGCAGCACGAUGUGGCAAUACAUUGGUGGCGACCGGCGCACGGGUGCGUAACACGUAUGGAACUUGCCCUUUACUGGAGGAUAGCCCGGAGAAAUCCGGAUUAAUACUCCAUAACAGUUGAGGUGGCAUCACCUUGGCUUGAAAGCUCCGGCGGUAAAGGAUGGCCAUGCGCACGAUAGCUAGUUGGUGAGGUAAUGGCUCACCAAGGCUACGAUCGUUAGGGGGCCUGAGAGGGUUAU